UACGGAGGGUGCAAGCGUUAUCCGGAUUCACUGGGUUUAAAGGGUGCGUAGGCGGGCAGGUAAGUCCGUGGUGAAAUCUCUGAGCUUAACUCAGAAACUGCCAUGGAUACUAUUUGUCUUGAAUGUUGUGGAGGUAAGCGGAAUAUGUCAUGUAGCGGUGAAAUGCUUAGAUAUGACAUAGAACACCAAUUGCGAAGGCAGCUUACUACACAAAUAUUGACGCUGAGGCACGAAAGCGUGGGGAUCAAAACAGG
rnacentral:rRNA from 1 species